AUUAUACUCCCUCCGUACAGAAAUACUCAUCGGAGAAAUGGAUAAAUAUGGAUGUAUCUAGAACUAAAAUACAUCUAGAUACAUCCAUUCCUACGACAAGUAUUUCCGGACGGAGGGAGUAUGAG
rfam:Triticum aestivum genome assembly, contig: Triticum_aestivum_CS42_TGACv1_scaffold_031257_1BL